rnacentral:rRNA from 1 species
UACGGGGGAGACAAGUGUUAUUCGUAAUGACUAGGCGUAAAGGGUACGUCGGCUGUUUUACAAGUUUAGAUAUAAAUAAGUAAUAUCUUCAUACUAUAAAACUUGAGUAUAUUAGAGAGAAGCGGUAUUUUUUGGUAGAAAUGAUAUUCGUCAAUCUUAAAAAGGACCUUCAAUAGGCGAAGGCAGCUUUUCAAAAUAUAACUGACGCUUAGGUACAAAAGCAUGGGUAGCGAAUGGG